rnacentral:snRNA from 1 species
UAACAAGGAUUCCCUUAGUAA